AUUGAACGCUGGCGGCAGGCCUAACACAUGCAAGUCGAACGAGUGGCGGACGGGUGAGUAAUGUAUGGGCAACUGCCAGGUGGAGGGGGAUAACUAAUGGAAACGGUAGCGAAUACCGCAUACGCUCGGAGCGGCCGAGAUGGGAUUAGCUAGUAGGUGGGGUAACGGCUCACCAAGGCGACGAUCCCUAGCUGGUCUGAUAGGAUGACCAGCCACACUGGAACUGAGACACGGUCCAGACUCCUACGGGAGGCAGCAGUGGGGAAUAUUGGACAAUGGGGGCAAGCCUGAUGCAGCCAGGCCGCGUGUAUGAAGAAGGCCUUCGGGGUGUAAAGUACUUUCAGCGAGGAGGCGUUACUCGCAGAAGAAGCACCGGCUAACUCCGUGCCAGCAGCCGCGGUAAUAC
rnacentral:rRNA from 1 species